AUAUUUCAAAAUUUUAAUGUCCCCUGCCUUUUUGAAUGUACCUUUUAAUGUCCCUUCGCUUUUUUUUUGUGUUGUGAUUAG